UAUAAAGUUUUGCUACAUGAGAAUUUGCAGCUUUAAGUAGAACCGAUACUUUCCAUCGAUGGCACAGGGGCUUGGGAGACAAGCUGAGAUUUCUACGACUACGAGAGUUGAUGCGAGACGGGACAUUCGGACACGUGACCGACAGAUCACCAAGAACAUGGCGUCUUCAGUAGAGAACGCAAUAUGAACAUUAUGGUGAGCGAUAAUGGUGCCGAUUAUGUUGACGAGACUAUUAUGGAACUUGAGAUAAAUAGUUCGUUGAACUUGAAAGUCACAUCUAAAAAGAUGUCAUAGGCUUAGCAGAGCCAAUUGGACUAUUUCGUGUUUGAGUGUGUAUUGUUGAUGCAUGCAUUGUAUAAAGACGACUUUGAAAGAUGUAAUCAAGGGUGAAGUUAGCGGACAAUACAGGUCUGGAGUUAACCGUUCACGUGACAAGAAGUCAGUUGUUGAUUAUUUUGAGAAGAGAUCAUGAUAUUUGUGAAGGUAUAAUUUGUUAAAGUUGAUAACUAAAUAAACGACAAUAUACUGGUCUGUUUAUUGAUGUUAAGGUAAAGUAUCUCAAGAACGAGAUGUGUAUGAGUUAAUUGUUUAAGCUACAGAUGUGCUAUAUAUAUUUAGACAAUUCAGGUCUGUUUAUAUAUAAACAUUAUUGGUGUAGAAUUCAUGUAUAACAAAUUAUAGAAAGAUUUGAUACAUGUUACAAAGGUGUUGAUCAUAUAUUUGAUUGACAAGGUUGAUUUUAUUUUGAUGGGACCAAGUGUUUUUGGAAAGAGAUUGUAAGAGGAUAUAUAUUUCGUUCGUAUCAUUCUCUUUUUGUCGGAGAAUGGUACUAUUCUUUGCUUUAUAAUAAAGCUUGAUUAUAAUUACGAGUAUCGUAAA